AUUGAACGCUGGCGGCAGGCCUAACACAUGCAAGUCGAACGGUAACAGGAAGAAGCUUGCUUCUUUGCUGACGCGUGGCGGACGGGUGAGUAAUGUCUGGGAAACUGCCUGAUGGAGGGGGAUAACUACUGGAAACGGUAGCUAAAACCGCAUAACGUCGCAAGGCCAAAGAGGGGGACCUUCUGGCCUCUUGCCAUCGUAUGUGCGCAGAUGGGAUUAGCUAGUAGGUGGGGUAAAGGCUCACCUAGGCGACGAUCCCUAGCUGGUCUGAGAGGAUGAGCAGCCACACUGGAACUGAGACACGGUCCAGACUCCUACGGGAGGCAGCAGUGGGGAAUAUUGGACAAUGGGCGCAAGCCUGAUCCAGCCAUACCGCGUGGGUGAAGAAGGCCUUCGGGUUGUAAAGCCCUUUUGUUGGGGAAGAAGAGCAGAAGGUUAAUACCCCGCUGUACUGACGGUACCCACAGAAUAAGCACCGGCUAACUUCGUG
rnacentral:rRNA from 1 species